rnacentral:rRNA from 1 species
UCAUGGCCCUUACGACCAGGGCUACACACGUGCUACAAUGGCGCAUACAAAGAGAAGCGACCUCGCGAGAGCAAGCGGACCUCAUAAAGUGCGUCGUAGUCCGGAUUGGAGUCUGCAACUCGACUCCAUGAAGUCGGAAUCGCUAGUAAUCGUGGAUCAGAAUGCCACGGUGAAUACGUUCCCGGGCCUUGUACACACCGCCCGUCACACCAUGGGAGUGGGUUGCAAAAGAAGUAGGUAGCUUAACCUUCGGGAGGGCGCUUACCACUUUGUGAUUCAUGACUGGGGUGAAGUCGUAACAAGGUAACCGUAGGGGAACCUGCGGUUGGAUC